GACGAACGCUGGCGGCGUGCUUAACACAUGCAAGUCGAACGGAAAGGCCCUGCUUUUGUGGGGUGCUCGAGUGGCGAACGGGUGAGUAACACGUGAGUAACCUGCCCUUGACUUUGGGAUAACUUCAGGAAACUGGGGCUAAUACCGGAUAGGAGCUCCUGCUGCAUGGUGGGGGUUGGAAAGUUUCGGCGGUUGGGGAUGGACUCGCGGCUUAUCAGCUUGUUGGUGGGGUAGUGGCUUACCAAGGCUUUGACGGGUAGCCGGCCUGAGAGGGUGACCGGCCACAUUGGGACUGAGAUACGGCCCAGACUCCUACGGGAGGCAGCAGUGGGGAAUAUUGCACAAUGGGCGGAAGCCUGAUGCAGCAACGCCGCGUGCGGGAUGACGGCCUUCGGGUUGUAAACCGCUUUCGCCUGUGACGAAGCGUGAGUGACGGUAAUGGGUAAAGAAGCACCGGCUAACUACGUGCCAGCAGCCGCGGUGAUACGUAGGGUGCGAGCGUUGUCCGGAUUUAUUGGGCGUAAAGGGCUCGUAGGUGGUUGAUCGCGUCGGAAGUGUAAUCUUGGGGCUUAACCCUGAGCGUGCUUUCGAUACGGGUUGACUUGAGGAAGGUAGGGGAGAAUGGAAUUCCUGGUAGAGCGGUGGAAUGCGCAGAUAUCAGGAGGAACACCAGUGGCGAAGGCGGUUCUCUGGGCCUUUCCUGACGCUGAGGAGCGAAAGCGUGGGGAGCGAACAGGCUUAGAUACCCUGGUAGUCCACGCUGUAAACGGUGGGUACUAGGUGUGGGGUCCAUUCCACGGGUUCCGUGCCGUAGCUAACGCUUUAAGUACCCCGCCUGGGGAGUACGGCCGCAAGGCUAAAACUCAAAGGAAUUGACGGGGCCCCGCACAAGCGGCGGAGCAUGCGGAUUAAUUCGAUGCAACGCGUAGAACCUUACCUGGGUUUGACAUGGAUCGGGAGUGCUCAGAGAUGGGUGUGCCUCUUUUGGGGUCGGUUCACAGGUGGUGCAUGGCUGUCGUCAGCUCGGGUCGUGAGAUGUUGGGUUAAGUCCCGCAACGAGCGCAACCCUUGUUCACUGUUGCCAGCACGUUAUGGUGGGGACUCAGUGGAGACCGCCGGGGUCAACUCGGAGGAAGGUGGGGAUGACGUCAAGUCAUCAUGCCCCUUAUGUCCAGGGCUUCACGCAUGCUACAAUGGCUGGUACAGAGAGUGGCGAGCCUGUGAGGGUGAGCGAAUCUCGGAAAGCCGGUCUCAGUUCGGAUUGGGGUCUGCAACUCGACCUCAUGAAGUCGGAGUCGCUAGUAAUCGCAGAUCAGCAACGCUGCGGUGAAUACGUUCCCGGG
rnacentral:rRNA from 1 species